UGGGGAAUUUUGGACAAUGGGGGAAACCCUGAUCCAGCCAUCCCGCGUGUGCGAUGAAGGCCUUCGGGUUGUAAAGCACUUUUGGCAGGAAAGAAACGUCGCGGGUUAAUACCCCCGCGAAACUGACGGUACCUGCCAGAAUAAGCACCGGGCUAACUACGUGCCAGCAGCCGCGGUAAUACGUAGGGUGCAAGCGUUAAUCGGAAUUACUGGGCGUAAAGCGUGCGCAGGCGGUUCGGAAAGAAAGAUGUGAAAUCCCAGAGCUUAACUUUGGAACUGCAUUUUUAACUACCGGGCUAGAGUGUGUCAGAGGGAGGUGGAAUUCCGCGUGUAGCAGUGAAAUGCGUAGAUAUGCGGAGGAACACCGAUGGCGAAGGCAGCCUCCUGGGAUAACACUGACGCUCAUGCACGAAAGCGUGGGGGAGCAAACAGGAUUAGAUACCCUGGUAGUCCACGCCCUAAACGAUGUCAACUAGCUGUUGGGGCCUUCGGGCCUUGGUAGCGCAGCUAACGCGUGAAGUUGACCGCC
rnacentral:rRNA from 1 species